rnacentral:rRNA from 1 species
AGUGAACGCUGGCGGUAUGCCUAACACAUGCAAGUCGAACGGCAGCACAGUAAGUGCUUGCUCUUACGGGUGGCGAGUGGCGGACGGGUGAGGAAUACAUCGGAAUCUACUUUUUCGUGGGGGCUAACGUAGGGAAACUUACGCUAAUACCGCAUACGACCUACGGGUGUAAGCCGGCGAUCUUCUAGCCUUGCGCGAUUGAAUGAGCCUAUGUCGGAUUAGCUAGUUGGCGGGGGAAAGGCCCACCAAGGCGACGAUCCGUAGCUGGUCUGAGAGGAUGAUCAGCCACACUGGAAGUGAGACACGGUCCAGACGCCUACGGGAGGAAGCAGUGGGGAAUAUUGGACAAUGGGGGCAAGCCUGAUCCAGCCAUACCGCGUGGGUGAAGAAGGCCUUCGGGUUGUAAAGCCCUUUUGUUGGGAAAGAAAAGCAGCAGGUUAAUACCCCGCUGUUCUGACGGUACCGAAAGAAUAAGCACCGGCUAACUUCGUG